rnacentral:rRNA from 1 species
GACGAACGCUGGCGGCGUGCUUAACACAUGCAAGUCGAACGGAAAGGCCCUGCUUUUGUGGGGUGCUCGAGUGGCGAACGGGUGAGUAACACGUGAGUAACCUGCCCUUGACUUUGGGAUAACUUCAGGAAACUGGGGCUAAUACCGGAUAGGAGCUCCUGCUGCAUGGUGGGGGUUGGAAAGUUUCGGCGGUUGGGGAUGGACUCGCGGCUUAUCAGCUUGUUGGUGGGGUAGUGGCUUACCAAGGCUUUGACGGGUAGCCGGCCUGAGAGGGUGACCGGCCACAUUGGGACUGAGAUACGGCCCAGACUCCGACGGGAGGCAGCAGGGGGGAAGAUUGCACAAUGGGCGGAAGCCUGAUGCAGCAACGCCGCGUGCGGGAUGACGGCCUUCGGGUUGUAAACCGCUUUCGCCUGUGACGAAGCGUGAGUGACGGUAAUGGGUAAAGAAGCACCGGCUAACUACGUG